rnacentral:rRNA from 1 species
AUUGAACGCUGGCGGCAUGCUUCACACAUGCAAGUCGAACGGUAACAGGCCGCAAGGUGCUGACGAGUGGCGAACGGGUGAGUAAUGCAUCGGAACGUGCCCAGUCGUGGGGGAUAACGCAGCGAAAGCUGUGCUAAUACCGCAUACGAUCUAUGGAUGAAAGCGGGGGACCGUAAGGCCUCGCGCGAUUGGAGCGGCCGAUGUCAGAUUAGGUAGUUGGUGGGGUAAAGGCCCACCAAGCCGACGAUCUGUAGCUGGUCUGAGAGGACGACCAGCCACACGGGGACUGAGACACGGCCCAGACUCCUACGGGAGGCAGCAGUGGGGAAUUUUGGACAAUGGGCGCAAGCCUGAUCCAGCAAUGCCGCGUGCAGGAAGAAGGCCUUCGGGUUGUAAACUGCUUUUGUACGGAACGAAACGGUCUGGGUUAAUACCCUGGGCUAAUGACGGUACCGUAAGAAUAAGCACCGGCUAACUACGUGCCAGCCGCCGCGGUAACAC